rnacentral:lncRNA from 10 species
ACUUUUAACCUGGCACAUGAUUACCCAAAAUGAAGACUCCAUAUAUCAGCCAUGGCCAAGUUUCUGACCAAUGAGAUAAAUAAAACAGACACGACUGGAUGUGAAACAGUCAUUUGGACCAUGAAGUGACCUUGGAAAAGGAAGCCAGAAGAGUUCUUCUUAGCUAUAACUACCUGGAAGAAAAAGUUGCUGAUCACAUUGAGAACUGAAAUUAAUAGCAGAAGAAAGUGAAGAGUGAAGAAUAUAGCUGCUCUAUUUUGUUUACUACAGGGCCUUGUAAAGAAUUAACUAGGUUUAAAUGAAAUGCCUUUUGAUGUAUUUUACUUGAAAUAGCAUUCUUGCUUCAAUUAAGCAGUCCCCAGAAAAGCAAUAACACGGUAGGAUCAAAUAAGCCAGAAUUUGCUUAUCCUCCAAGUUCUCUGGCGUGCUAAAAAGUCAAACUCAGGAUGCAAUAUCUGUGCUUUUGUUGAUGAGUGCCCAAUAAACAAGGAACUCUGAA